rnacentral:lncRNA from 1 species
UCCUAUGGAAAGGAAACUUAUCAUAGACUUCCCCAAAAUGAGGCUUGCUCUCUCCACUAAGACAGAUCAUUAAUGUCCAAAACUUUUGAAACAUUAACUAUUCACUUAAAUUUUGGGAAAUUGAUGUUACCAAAAAGUCCCAGCAAUUCGAGUCUCCUUCAGAGAGUAGUGAUACUGGCUGAACACCAUGAUUUACAUUCCAUCUUCAAAGCGAGAUAAUGCAAGAAUGCCAAAAAUUCAACAGAGCCUUCUCAAGUAACAAUCUUGUCCUUGAGAGAGCAGUGGGAUUUUUGAGUUGUGGGAUUUUCCACUCAUUUCUUCUAUCGUUUUCCAACUUCCUUGCCUUCAAGUGUCAACUGGCUCCUCUCAGUCACAGCUGUACAAAUCACAAGGACUUUCAUUGGCAUGAGACAUAUAUAUUAUUCAUCUAUCCGGUUUCAUCUGAAGGAAAUCCAAUAAAGGCACAAUUUUACUUUCCAAUGAAAUAUUCAAAGCUGCUUUUUCCCCAUGAGAAACUGGGCAGACAACUUCAUCCAUGAUCAAUAUGCUGAGAGUUCUGAAGUCUAUUAGGCACAAAUUAUCAACUUCUCCACUGGUCCAUCCCGAUAGCAGUGUGGAACAACUCAGAAACAGUCAAACUGUCUGGAUUCAAUUCCUUGCUCUAUUGUUUAUCAAUGUGCGGCCUUAUGUUAUUGGCCAAACUGAUUUGAGGCCAAGUUUGUUUUGUUUUGUUUUGUGUUUUAGAGAGAGAGAGAGCGUGCGCACACAAACAAGUGGCGGGGGGUGGCAGAGGGACAGAGAGAAUCUUUGGCAGGCUCCAUACCCAGCAUGGAGCCCCAUGCAGGGCUCAAUCUCAUGA